UACGUAGGGGGCAAGCGUUAUCCGGAUUUACUGGGUGUAAAGGGAGCGUAGACGGAUAAGCAAGUCUGAUGUGAAAAUCCGGGGCUCAACCCCGGAAUUGCAUUGGAGACUGCAUAUCUAGAGUGUCGGAGAGGCAAGUGGAAUUCCUGGUGUAGCGGUGAAAUGCGUAGAUAUCAGGAGGAACACCAGUGGCGAAGGCGGCUUGCUGGACGAUGACUGACGUUGAGGCUCGAAAGCGUGGGGAGCAAACAGG
rnacentral:rRNA from 1 species